rnacentral:lncRNA from 1 species
AUGCAGGUUAAGUGACUUGCCUGGAGCCAGAAUUGAACUCAGGUUCUCCUAAUUUCAAGUCAAUUGCUCUACAUACAUAAAGAAUUAGACAUGGAAUUCAAGAAAUAAAUGGAGGCAAAAUCUAGGCUAAUGUAAUACAACAAGUAUUUUUAAGGACUCCCCAGCUGUAGUGCAUUGUCAUGAUGAAAUAAUGAUCAAGGACUUCAAUUAUCUAGUAUCUGCUGAUUAUUUCUCUUCAAAAAAAAAAAAGAAGAAGAAGAAGAAGAAAUCAACUCAGUCAGCUUGUUUCAAUGUUCGUCUAAUUCUUUAAAAGUGGAAGAAGCAACAAAAAGAAAGUACUAUUUCUGAUCCUACUACUUGCCAGUAAGGAUGAACUGGCUGCGGAAGUAGAGCUGAUGAGAACCUUAGAGAGAAGUGAAUACUCUAUCUUAGAAUAUGAAAACUAUUUCCGAAAUAUGAAAAUUAUUUUUAAGAAUUCAUAGAAAGGGCAGGGAGGAUACAUGGACCCCAAAUAAAUUGCUCUCCUGCUCUUCAACCUGAAGACUUCAAACCUGAAGUUCUGAAGACAAAAAUAGUAAUUAUCCCCCCAAAAAGAAAAAAGAUUGAUAUAGUGAAAGAAACCCAUAUGGCUCCAUAGAAGGCUCUUUAGCCAAAUCAGAUUUGUAAAUUUAUAUAUGCAUAAAAGUGGGAAGUAAGGGCAGUAAAGCUGAGGUGCUGAGGUGGGGAAAAUACUGAUAAUCAAAAAUUAUAUUUUGGGGGGAGGGUUGGGGUCGAGAGGAAGUUAAAAGAAGAACUAAGAUUUCUGCUGUGAGUGAAUAGAGUGAUAAUAACUGAUGACAGCAAGAUGACAGAAUUACUUCUGAUUUUGUUUGUUUGAUUUUAUUUAGUUUUCUGCCAAGAAUUUGGUUUUGCAAUGGAAGGUUGAAACAAAAAAAUUUAACAGGGAGAUGUAACUCAACAAAAAGGAGAAGGUGGUAAGGUAAAAUUUGCAUGUCCUCAAUGAGUUCAAAACACCAGGCUGGAAUGAAUCAUGUCUUGUGGUGUUAAAAUGAACUUGCUAAAAAGAAAUUUUAAAAAAUAAAAGUAAAAGUAAAAAGUAAAAAAUAAAAUUAAAAAAAAAAAGAACUUGCUGCUUAUGCUUUGAUUAUGGACCCAUUUCCCUUGAUCUUAGAAAUAUUAUGGGAACCAGGAAAGGUGCUAGAAUAGGGCUGAAAGGCAAAGAUUGUUUAGAUUGGGGGUGGGGGAGGAAGAAGGCAAGAAAAUGGAUUCUAAAAACUAUAGGUUAGUGUGUUUGAUUUCAAUUCCAGGAAAACUUUCUAGAUCAUCUGAUUAAAGGGGUGGUUUGUAAGUAGUUAGAAAAUGAAGCAGUCAUCAACUAAAUACUAGCAGGAUUUAAAUAAGAACCAGUCACAUGUCAGACUACCCCCAUUUCUUUUGAUGACAAGCUAACAAAAAUAGUAUGUCAGGAGAAAGACCUAAUGGCCCUCCUUGAAUUCAGCAAGUCAUUUGACAAAGUUUUUAAUGCUCUCCUGAGGGAAAAUAGCAAGAGAUUAAUACAACUACACAUCUUUGUAGGAACAUGGUAUCAUGGGAACAGAACUGGAAGGGACAUUCACGAUCAACUGAUUCAAUCUUUUCAAGAGGAAGUUGAGGCGCAGAAGUGUAAAUGAAUGCUCCAAAGUGCAUGCAGAUUGUAAGUAGCAGAGAUAGGAGUCAAAUUUGGGUCUUCUUACCAAAUCCAAAGCUCUCUCGUGGUACCAUUACUGCAUCUCAUAACUGGCUGAAUGGCAAAAUCCAAAAACUGUCAGUUAACGAAUACAUGUCAACUUGAAAAAGAAGCUCCAGGGGAGUGUCACAAAGAUUUGCUGUGCUAUUUAACAUUUUGCCACUGGCCCUCCAGCAUUCAAUAUUUUAAUCAAUGACCUGGAUAGAAAGAGUGAUUGAACCAAUGAAUAAAGAGCUGGCUGGAGCCAGUAAGAUCUGAGUGCAAAUUCAACCGGACAGUAACCAGCUGUGUAAUCCUAAACUAAUCUCUGUCUACCUGUCUGUAAAGUGAGGGUAACAAUAGCAUCUUCCUUUGAAGGUUGUGUGAAAAGCUAAUUGUACAAUAUUUCAGAGUCUGAUUCUUUUUGUACAGCAAAAUAACGUUUUGGUCAUGUAUACUUAUUGUGUAUCUAAUUUAUAUUUUAAUAUAUUUAACAUCUACUG